AGAACGAACGCUGGCGGCAUGCCUAAUACAUGCAAGUCGAACGAACACUUCGGUGUUAGUGGCGCACGGGUGCGUAACGCGUGGGAAUCUGCCCUUGGGUUCGGAAUAACAGUUGGAAACGACUGCUAAUACCGGAUGAUAUCGAAAGAUCAAAGAUUUAUCGCCCAGGGAUGAGCCCGCGUAGGAUUAGCUAGUUGGUGAGGUAAAGGCUCACCAAGGCGACGAUCCUUAGCUGGUCUGAGAGGAUGAUCAGCCACACUGGGACUGAGACACGGCCCAGACUCCGUACGGGAGGCAGCAGGUAGGGAAUAGUUGGGCAAGUGGGCGCAAGCC
rnacentral:rRNA from 1 species